UGAGGAAUAUUGCACAAUGGGCGCAAGCUUGAUGCAGCAACGCCGCGUGCGGGACGAAGGCCUUCGGGUCGUAAACCGCUUUUCUGGGGGAAGAGCAAGGACGGUACCUCAGGAAUAAGUCUCGGCUAACUACGUGCCAGCAGCCGCGGUAAAACGUAGGAGGCGAGCGUUAUCCGGAUUUACUGGGCGUAAAGCGCACGCAGGCGGCUCUGUUAGUCGGACGUGAAAGCUCUCGGCUUAACCGGGAGAGGCCGUUCGAUACUGCGGGGCUUGAGGUAGGGAGAGGAAUGCGGAAUUCCCGGUGUAGUGGUGGAAUGCGUAGAUAUCGGGAGGAACACCUGUGGCGAAAGCGGCAUUCUGGCCCUCACCUGACGCUGAGGUGCGAAAGCGUGGGUAGCAAACA
rnacentral:rRNA from 1 species